rnacentral:rRNA from 1 species
AUGAACGCUAGCGACAGGCCUAACACAUGCAAGUCGAGGGGCAGCACAAGGAGCAAUCUGAGGUGGCGACCGGCGCACGGGUGAGUAACACGUAUGCAACCUGCCUGUAAGCGGGGAAUAACCCGUUGAAAGACGGACUAAUACCGCAUAAUACUAAAUUACUGCAUGGUAAUUUAUUUAAACAUUUAUGGCUUACAGAUGGGCAUGCGCAUGAUUAGCUAGUUGGAGAGGUAACGGCUCCCCAAGGCAACGAUCAUUAGGGGUUCUGAGAGGAAGGUCCCCACACUGGUACUGAGACACGGACCAGACUCCUACGGGAGGCAGCAGUGAGGAAUAUUGGUCAAUGGACGAGAGUCUGAACCAGCCAAGUCGCGUGCAGGAAGAAUGUCCUAAUGGAUUGUAAACUGCUUUUGCAGGGGAAUAAAGUGCAUCACGUGUGAUGUUUUGUAUGUACUCUGCGAAUAAGGAUCGGCUAACUCCGUGCCAGCAGCAGC